rnacentral:lncRNA from 1 species
ACCUGGGAAGGCGACAUUGGGGUGUGGGUCAUUCCGAGCCUCGACCCUCCACGGCGGGAGGCUGCGGCUGCCGUCGGGGCCGUGCUCCGGUGCUCUCCCUGGGGCUGGUAGCGGACCAAGGUUCAGCCACCAGCUUGCCAUAUGUUCUCCGGCACUGCACCGUCUCCUGCCUCAGUUUCCUAAUCUGUCAGAGGGACAUAAGCCCUGCCUGACGUAACCCCACCCCCACCCCCGCUGCUGUCCAGAGAGGUAGAUUAAAGAGGGUUGUGCUGGCAACGGGACUCCCGGGCCUCCUUCCCACCUCCAAUGGCCCCCUCCAAUCCAGUUUCCCACCACUCACCCCCAGCUUCCACCAUCCCAGCCUCAGUUUCCCCACAAAACAGCCUGGAUUUCCUAGUACCAGACCAUGCUUGAGCUCCAGCCACUCACAGCGACAGCUUGUGAAGCAGAUGAGCAGGAGGUGGAAGGCGAGGAAAGUUUCAAGGGCGCACUGGGACAGGUCAAGCUGAGGCCUCCUCUGCUCAGGGCUUUCCUUUCGGGGCUUAUAUCCCCGCCUGGAAAGGAAAGGGAGUCCCACGGGGAGGGGGAGCCAGCAGGGGGUGCGCCCUUCUUCCUCCUUCCACCCGCACCAGAUCCUUGAGCUUACGCUCAGCCACUGUGUGACGUCUCCACCUCAUAGGAGCUCAGGGGGCAGCUGCCAUGCUCAGAUUUGGGGUCCCACUGGAUGGGGUACCUAGCCUGAACCCUGUGUUCAGCCCACAGCCCCGCAGGGGCAGGUCCAGCCUCCUGAGGAAGUGAAGUGGUUGGAUUAGACUCCUGGGGCAGCCCCUAGGACCAGGAAUGAGAUUCUGUCUUCCCUAGCCAGUCCAUGGUGGGAGUGGGGGGUGGGAGGGUAGACACAUUUCUUCCAGCCUGUGGGAUCUGUGACCACUCUUUCCAAAACACAACUCUUUUCAGCCUCUGCUCAGUAAUACCUUGGAGAAGGGCUGAGGAGUGACAGGACCUCUGGGGGAAAGUCUUUCUCCUGGAGGCAGGGGUGGGAGCACCUGACCUUGGGCUCCUGGCCUGCAGUUUAUGAUAUCCUGGGGGAGAGGCCUCUCUGAACACUCCGUUAUGUUCUCUCUCCAUUAAAGAGUUGGGAAAAGAGGCAGGAGGAGGCAGAAGCCAGUCCCCCAACCAGAAGCAGCUGAGUCAGCUACCUGUGUAUCCAGCCUGGCACACAAAGACCCUGGUCCAGCCAUGUGUGGCAUAGAGCCCUCUCCCCAGGCAAUGUCCCCACCCCUAUGCAGGUGUCAAUCAGGGCACUGGUGUCUUCUGGGCCUGAGUGAUGCCAAGCCUUCCCAAGCACAUGCCACUGUCCCCAGCCCAUGGCAGUCUCCACUGGGCUCUGAAGCCCAGAUCCUUUGAAGGAAAGGACUCAUGUUUAUUAAGCACCUACUGUGCACCGGGUAGUACAUAAUUUCGGACAUCACAAAACAAUGAGCUGAGUUUAUCUCCAUUUUCCAGAUGAGGAAAUUGAAGCCCUGAUGAAGCAGCCAAAGUCACCCAUGAUUCAAACAGGAAAAGGAGGGUGAGGCAGACCCCAGGAAGAGGACCUCUCAAUUGUGAGGGGCAGAAAGCCUCAGCACCUGGAGUAGCCAUGUGGUGCCGGAGGCAGGCCUGGGAGCAGGGACCGGAAGCCUAAGUCUGGGGCCCACCACCCACUAUGAGAGGCUGAGUAGGGGAAGGGCCUCCAGAAUGCCAACCCCCUCAAACCCACCUGCCCAGUAGGAGAGAGGGCUGUGGGAAGGUCUCUCCAUAAAGCCCUUCCAGCUUCCUCUCCCUGGCCUGGCCAGACCUCCAGUACUUCCAGAUGUCCCAUCAACCCAUGGGGGCUGAAGGGGCCAACUUGUCCAGGCCGCUGGUUCUGAGCCAGCCCCUCCAGCCCCAGGACAGAUGGCUGUGGGUGCUAUUUUUAGAGCUCUCCUGAGAGGGAGAGUUC